UUUUUUUUUUUAAGGCUUUCUAGGUCCUGACAAAUGCAGAGGCCACAGAGACGGAGACACCUCAAUCAACUAGUCAGGUGGGGUUGUGCCGUGAUUUGCUCCUGUUCCUAUAGGAGGUCCAGCACUUACUAGCUGAAGGGGGAAGGAAUGCACCAGAACUAAGGUGGAAAUGACCCAGUGAGGAAGGAAAAUGAGCACAGGCUGCCCUAGUCACACAAUUAAAACAUAUAUGCUGGCCAAAGGUCAUCUUCAUAGCUGGGUGAGGAGACGCUGAGAUGAACUACAGACGUGAGAUGAACUAUAUAGCUGGUAGCUGGUUCCCCGCUGGGAUGUGCAUUCACAUCCCCAUCCUUGUCGGUUCCAAAGACUCUACCUGCACCCAGGAUCUGAAAGCUUUAAUGUGGGUCAUCCGACCAAGUGGAAAGAACCACAGCAUCCCUUUGUAAUGGGGGUUUAUUCUACUGUGUGACAACAGCCACCUCCUUCAUUUGAGGAGAUUAAUAACUUAGGCAACACUCCUGGUAGACCUGCCAUUUGGCUCAGCUCAGUUCCAGCUUGUUUGGAGAGAGAAGUGUUCCUCAUCAUGCCAUAUCCUCACACAGAUUGUCCAGGUACCAGCAAGACAAGAAGAGAAAAACACACAGGAGCACAUUAGGCGGAGCUGGGAUUCUGCUACACAUUCAGAUGACAGGUCACCUAUAGACAGAUGAUUCAGGGAUCAACCUGGAGUUCUUAAUACAACCAAGAAGAGACUCAGAAAGCUGGGAAUAUGGGCAAAAGAUCAUCUUGAA